CAGUCGAGCGGAAGGCCCUUCGGGGUACUCGAGCGGCGAACGGGUGAGUAACACGUGAGCAACCUGCCCCUGACUCUGGGAUAAGCCCGGGAAACUGGGUCUAAUACCGGAUACGACCGCCCCCGGCAUCGGGUGGUGGUGGAAAGUUUUUCGGUUGGGGAUGGGCUCGCGGCCUAUCAGCUUGUUGGUGGGGUAGUGGCCUACCAAGGCGACGACGGGUAGCCGGCCUGAGAGGGCGACCGGCCACACUGGGACUGAGACACGGCCCAGACUCCUACGGGAGGCAGCAGUGGGGAAUAUUGCGCAAUGGGCGAAAGCCUGACGCAGCGACGCCGCGUGGGGGAUGACGGCCUUCGGGUUGUAAACCUCUUUCAGCAGGGACGAAGUUGACGUGUACCUGCAGAAGAAGCGCCGGCUAACUACGUGCCAGCAGG
rnacentral:rRNA from 1 species